GCGGAAGUGGCGAAAUUGGUAGACGCACUGGAUUUAGGUUCCAGCGCCGCAAGGUGUGAGAGUUCGAGUCUCUCCUUCCGCACCA
rnacentral:tRNA from 21 species